GGGUCAUGCAAUAGGUCGAUACAUUAUAAAUGAGAGAACUAUAAGACAAGAGAGAUCAGGCGAUAACGAGAACUUGUCGUGUCUGUGCACUAAUAAGGGAGGGGAGAGAUCAAAGUCCAAUCACGCGGAGUAAACUGUCCCCGGGGUCACCAUCAGCGCACUGCCCGCUUCCCCGGGACACGCCCCACAAUGCUUCAUCACGGACAUGGACACUGGUCAGCACUGUAAGAACUAUGGACGGGAGGCACGCUAACAAGAAAAUCUAAUUCUCAAUGGUAAUGUUCAUAUCAAGAACAUGCUAGAACGUCGGAAACACUAGCUACCUUGGGAGCCAGAAUAUGUAGCCAUUUUUGACGUGAAGGUCGCUGUGAGAAUUUUAUGAUAUUGACUGUCAAUACAAGACACAAAGGUGUGAAGUCAUUAAGGACACCUUAUCACGCAUUUACAGCUGUAGCUGGACGAGAACAUAUACACAAAUUCAGAGCAGGGAGAGGAGGUCGGGGUCCGGUGGGGGUCAGGAAUCAGGGUCCCCGAAUAAGCACUGAUUGCACACCACUCAACUACUAGCUGAAGUACUAAUGACAUGGGCUAUAAACGCCAGUUCUACAAACAGGGACACACUCGUUACUUCGCUAUGGCGCAGAAUAUCAAGCUUGCAAAACUUUUUAAUUCAUUAACACAUAUUGCUAAUUGUGUAUAGCUUUUCAAUAUUUCAGUAAAAAGUUUGAUUUAAGACAAUUUACAAUAGUUACAUUAAAUUAUUCAAUACGC
rnacentral:sRNA from 1 species